UACAGAGGGGGCAAGCGUUGUUCGGAAUUACUGGGCGUAAAGGGCGCGUAGGCGGCCGCCUAAGUCAGACGUGAAAUCCCCAAGCUUAACUUGGGAACUGCGUCUGAUACUGGGUGGCUUGAGUUCGGGAGAGGAAUGUGGAAUUCCAGGUGUAGCGGUGAAAUGCGUAGAUAUCUGGAGGAACACCGGUGGCGAAGGCGGCAUUCUGGACCGAAACUGACGCUGAUGCGCGAAAGCCAGGGGAGCAAACGGG
rnacentral:rRNA from 1 species